UGAAAGUGAACAAAUAUGUGGUAUGGAUCAUCAGUAAAUAGCACAGGAAUGUAAAGCCAGUAAAUCAGGAGCAGAGUUACACAAAAAAGCCGAGCGGCACAGCAGUUUAACACCCGGGCAACCGCUUAGCCCUGAAACCAGCCCUGAAUCCAGUAGACCCUAUACCAUGUGAAAUGACUGGAUUUGUCCUAUUAUGUGGAAUGCCUGCAUGUGACGCUGUGAGAUUUAGCAGCUUUGGUCUGAAAAAGAAUAAACAUUUCUGAAAAGAAAAACACUACUUCUGCCCAGCCAUGAAAUUUCUGAAAUAGGUGGCAGGCUGGACUCCCACUCAUCUGAAGAUAAGAAAAGAUCCAGAUAAAUAUCGCAGCCCACGGUUCAAUCCAGUCC